rnacentral:rRNA from 1 species
UACGUAGGGUGCGAGCGUUAAUCGGAAUUACUGGGCGUAAAGGGUGCGCAGGCGGCCAGCACAAGUCAGUUGUGAAAUCUCCGAGCUUAACUCGGAAAGGUCAACUGAUACUGUGCGGCUAGAGUGCGGAAGGGGCAACUGGAAUUCUUGGUGUAGCGGUGAAAUGCGUAGAUAUCUGGAGGAACACCGGUGGCGAAGGCGGCAUCCUGGACCAUUACUGACGCUGAGUGAGCGAAAGCCAGGGGAGCAAACAGG